UAGUAAUCACUUAUUUUAAGUCCAUUUCUGGU
rnacentral:piRNA from 1 species